GUGCCAGCAGCCGCGGUACUACCGGCAGCCCGAGUGAUGGCCGAUCUUAUUGGGCCUAAAGCGUCCGUAGCUGGCUGCGCAAGUCCGUCGGGAAAUCCACUCGCCCAACGAGUGGGCGUCCGACGGAAACUGCACAGCUUGGGACCGGAAGGCUCAGAGGGUACGUCCGGGGUAGGAGUGAAAUCCCGUAAUCCUGGACGGACCACCGGUGGCGAAAGCGCCUCGAGAGGACGGACCCGACAGUGAGGGACGAAAGCCAGGGUCUCGAACCGGAUUAGAUACCCGUGUAGUCC
rnacentral:rRNA from 1 species